AAUGGUAAUACAAAAUUGCUUUAUUUUUGUGGGAUUUGAUUGCUUUAGAUGAUACAGCCCUUGCUGGUGGGCCUCUCUCACUGCUUGUAUUUCCAGAUUAUAAAUCAUUCCUUUGACAGGGUAUCUGCCACAACCAGGUCUCAGUUUCUGUGGUAUCAUUUUUUAUAUUACAACUGGCAACUGUUCUUCUGGGCUGUUCCUAUAAAUGACACAUUUUGCAUAAUUUAUGAGAAUGAGGUCAAAAUCAAAGCUAAUAAAGGCCUCCCCAACUUUUCUUGUACGUGUCAAGGCAUUUCAGGCAUUCAGCUUUUAGGGUACUGGGUCAUACAGAGAAAUGCCAGACUUUUCUAUGGCAAGGAUAAGGCAUUGUGUCCACAAAAACUGAAAUUCAAAAUUGUGAAAGCCAACAUGAGGCAAAGUUCCAGUCACAGUGAACCAAUCAAUGACAAAUAUUCAACCUCCAAGAACAAAACAAUUUCCUUUAAAUUUAUGUCCAGAGACAGAAGCGUUUGCUGCACUCAGCCAUAGAGAGGGCGGCCAGAAGCGAAAGCCUCAUUUCCCUCCCUUGAACAUCACGGUGUUGAGUGAGACGGUCAGCAGGUUUCCUUCCUGUUCUGAUAUUUUGGCAACUCCAGAGUCCACUGGUGGAAUGAAGGGACAGUGAAUUCAGACGAUGGCUGUGAACACAGGCUGCUGCCUCACUGCAAGCCUCCAGUUUCAAUUCAGACCUGGGAUUUUUGAAUCUGAACUCACGUUCAUUUCUGGAGCCCACACAUCAGCUAUGCAGCAGAACUCCUUCCCGACAUUACACAUUUGAAGUCUGGCUGAGUCUGAGAUGUUCUGGUUUCCAUCUAAGGAGAUGCUCAUUUGGAAGAUCAGGCCCCAUGAGCACAAGGAGAUCCAAGCAAUAACAUGGUGAAGAACAGAGCCAACAAAUGUGAGCAGAAGUAAAAGACUCCAGGUCCCCCAGAUGCCAGGAACAGGAAGCAGGGAAGCACAUCUCAGUAGACAGACACUCACACGGACCAGCUCCUGGCCGUAAUGAUUUGCAUGCUUCCCAUCUGAAGUGGUGGCUGGGCAGCCACGGAACCACAGUAAGGAGAAAUUCCCUUUGGGACAAGGUGUGACCUACAUCCCACCAACUUACAAGAUGCUUGAUUCCAGCCCUGGGGUUGAUCCUUGCAGACUGGGGAUAGAUAGAAGGGCUCAGCUUCGUUUCUGUAAAUUCCCAUGCUCCGUCCUACAGCCAUUCUGAGCCAGUCAAACCUCGUUUCUCUUCAGGGAUGGUUCCUGGCAAAAGCCCCAUCCUGGGACGCCAGCACUGACAGAGGUUAAUAGGUACCAUUUAGCUACCCUCGGCAGCAUUGGUUUGAUCUUCUUGGCUCUCGUGUGCUUCCUCUUCUUGGCACAAGAAAAUUCAGCUUUUGCCCUUUAUCCUGUUAUCCAAGAGCCUGAACGCCCAUGACAGUCAUGGGGGCAGACGCUGCCCCUCCCGAGUCCUUGGCAGAGUGGGAGAUUGAGACCAACACAGGCAAUGUGCCUUGAGCUCUUCACUUUGCCCUCAACAGCCAGCUGGCCUGUUGCUGAAACCAAGACCAAUUGGAAAAAGGCACACAUGCGGAUGGAACCAUUGUGCCUUAUUUCCCCCUCUCCACAGAAAGCAGAGGAGUAGCGAGGGGCUAAAAGCAAAGAAAGCUUAUUAAAUCUGCCCUGAAUCCAAAAAACUCUUGACUGUCCUAUGUUCUAAGUUCUUAGGGGUGCGGCAGCCCACACAGCUACAGAUGACUACAACAUUGGGGGAAAAAAAAUUUCCCGGUCAAUUUGAUGUGUGUCCAUUAUCUCCAAAGGGCCACACUUCUGGAGCACCCCUGCUGCUAGGGUCCACUUGCAAGGCUCUAGAUCCUCAGCUUGAGAGCCCACAGCAGAGAGUGGGGACAAGAGAGGCUCAUAGCACAUAGCCCUAUUAUUCUUGAAAGUGCUUCGAGUGGCCCAGGAAGCCCAGCCCUGCAUGAGCCCAGUCUACUAGAAUGUGGGAGACCACUGAGCACAAGUACUUCCCCCAGGCACAGAAACUAAGUGCUGUUAGAAUAAGCACCAGAUGAGGUAGUUGCUUGACUCAGGACUCCAAAAUAUGUAUCCUUUAACCCAAGACUCAUAGUAGAUGACGCAGAAGUACAAAACCAUGCCUGGGACCUGCGGAGGAUGCCACGCCCCUCGGCAGACGUCUGUGUGUAGUGGCACACAUUACUCUUUCAUGGGAACACCUCUGCCAGUUCCUCUCUUCUGCUUCUUCUCUCUAAACAUUCAAAUUUGCUUCUGUUAAAUGGGAAUGAGAGGAAGCUCCACUGUGCAAGGAUUCUAGAAUCUUCCUUCCCGAACUUCACUGGGAAGACAGCUGAAAUUUCUGUUUAGAAUUUCUACUUGUUACUCCUACCAUGAAGAUUCCAGAAUGAAUAAUUUCCAUUUCUAUCUGCAUGAAUUUCCAAAAGCUCCAGCAAGUUUAGAUGACGCUAUUCUGAAAUUAAACCUUGCUCACCAAGUACAGAGGGAAGAACGGAGAGCUAAGGGGGCUCCACAGUGCAGAUCGGAGCCUCAGUUUAACCAGCUCUGAAAAGGGCACAGUAACACCUCGCUCUAGGGAAAGGGUGGAAUCAGGUUAAUUAAUUGGCUUUCUCAGAGCAGAAAAUGUGUCAUCCUCUUCAAAACCUUAAGAUGAAAGGUGCGAAAUGGUGUCAUUAUUUGAGAAAUUGCUACAUCAAACAUGGGACGCCUAUAAACCAGUAGCACAUAAUUAUCAUAAAAAUAGCACACUGUUAAAAGUUCUAGGGGAGCUGGGCAUAUCAGACUGUGAGGGAGUAAGAGGUAGGCAAAGGGCCUUUAAUCCUCCCUCUCGUUCUCAGGACCUGGCCACCAGCCCUCUCUGAGGUGGCCACAGCAGCUCCCUGCUUCUGGCCACCACCCGCCAUCCACUGUCCACAGGGCAGCCUGAGUGGACACAGCUCCCCAGGCUCACAACUCUCCAGUCACCGUCUACCUCACUUGAGUUAGAAGCCCAAGUCCUUAGAGUGGCCCAGGACUCCUAUUACCUGAGACUUAUCUGACCAUUACUGUUGCACCUCAGCCUUACUCCUGUGACUGGCCGCUCAGCCAGCCCCCCUGACCUUGCUGGGACUCUCUCCACAUGUCACGAUGCUGCCACGCCCUGCCUGGGCCUUGCUCUGCCUUGCUGGGUGCUUCCCAGAUACGCGCCCAGGCUGCGCCAUCCCCACCUCUGGGAUUUGCUCAGCUAUCAUCUUUAUGGUGACCCAGUGACACUGGCAAUGUGCUUAAACACCACAACCCUCACCCCACACAUAUUCUGCCUUCCCCUUCCCUAAUUCCUUGUUCUCCAUAACUCGGGUCCAUCUGACCAUCCCUUCCGGUUCUGUUUUCCCACAGGAACAAUCUGAGUUCUGUGAAGACCAGCAGUUUGCUCAGGACAAUGUCUGCCCCAAGGAGGUGUUUAAGAUUAGUCGGCUGAAUUACAAGUUGUUCCAUUUCUAAAGGCUUUUUGCACUUUUCCUCAGAUUAUCCUUGUCAGGCUCUCUUCUCAUUUCUGUAGCUGCCCUUCAGACUAUUUUUAAAUACUUACAUCUGCCUUCCAGGAAGGUUUCUGACAGAGGCAGAGAAGCCCAAAAGAUACCACUGACCAAAUCCUUAGCUGAUUUGACUGAGAAAUAAGGAGCUGGCCCUUCCUUGUUCUCCCCACCAGCUGUAAAGGGGGCAGGACCUGACUGGUGGCGGUCUUGCCCAUUCCCCCAUCCGGGCACUGCUGCCUACUGUCUCACUAAGGAGCAACCUAAACCUCCUGUGUAAUGGCAGAGGUCCCACUGUUGAUAUCCCUGAAGUCCCUGCAGUCAAUGGGCCAUGAACGACAGACACUACAGCCCCUCCUAGAGACCGCACAAAAGCCGCACCAGCCUGACUUUUAGUGCUGGUAUAUUUGCAGAAGCCCACAGACUUUUAGUCAAAUAGCCACUUCCACAGAGCUUUCUCGGUAGCAGCUGAAGCUAUCCUAGGCCCCUACUGCCUUUCUGGGAGAUGCUGGCCUUGGCCACAACAGGCUUCAAACACAGGCCUCUCCCUGGCCCCGCGCUGUGUCCACUCCUGAUAAGCCUACUGUGUAGCUUCCAGAUGAGCCCGUGCCCUUCUGACCCUACACUGAAAGAGCGUGGAAAGUUCUGGCAAAUACAGGAGACUGUGCAUGUGCACCCCACUGCAUAGCAGUGCUCCUUCAUACUCCAUGGGUCAGUCAAGGGGAGUUCCCUCUAGCAGAUGGCCAAAAUCUGUACUGCAGCAUGGGUGAUGUUACUCCCUACUCUGAUUCUCAUUUCUGGUACAGUGGGCUAAGUGGGCUCAACAAAUGGCACCAAUAACACAAGGGUUAUUAGGCCUGAAGAGUUCUGGAGACCUACAAUGGAAUAGACUGAAAUCCAAGGCCCCCAGGAAACAUGAGGCCGGAGCCCCAAGCCCAAGACUGGCAGCAAAGGAGGAGCAGACAGAGAGGGUCAAGGCCAAAAGUUGGCCUAGGCUUGGCAGCAAACAUUGCUGGGAGGACUCCAGAAGGCUGCCAAGAGGGUUACAAGCUUCAGCUGCUAAGGAGCUGAUAGUAGAAACCAGUGAAGGCUGCAACACUGAGAGCUAAGAGGCUCUGGCACUGGAGACUCAGAACUACAGCGUCAAGAGCUGGAAGCCACUGACACACAAAACCCAGAGCCACUAACCUCAAGGCAAAGAACCCCCCCCCCCCCGCUGACUGAUGAUAUUAGAAAGGGGUCUGCCCAUGUCUUCCAGUCUGCUCCACUCCAUUUCUUUGCAGUAAUUCUAGGAAUUUCUCUGGAAAAUAAAUGAGUGAAUGGAAGAGUGGCUGGACUCUGACUUCCUCCCACUAUGUGUGGGACCCUCUGAGACCCUUAAUGAAGAUGCACUGGUGCAGAGACUCAGAUUUGUAAGUGCCUUAUUAAAGGACACGCACACCCACACCAUCGUAAGUAGAAGAAAAUCAUUCCAGCAAGUGAAAGCAAUACACUGAGUUUUAUUGGAAGGACAGGAGAGUGUCUCAGAGGGCUUUAAGAAAGGAGGGACUCGUGAAUGAUUGAAGUCAUGAACCAGAAAGCCACCGUGAACAAUGUGCACUCUCUGUCCCGUGACCUCCCUUCACAGCGGGCCUUUUCAGACCUGCUCCCUGCACCUCCGUCAGACUCCACUUAGCGUUUGCUGUCUCUGUGCACAUGGUCAGCCACCGAUGCCCCGCUGACUCAGUGGUCCCAUUCAGCACUGCGCAAGCCCCAGCAGCAGCCCAGAGUCCUUAUUCCUAAUUCUAGGGACAGAACUUCUGGUCAACUGGCUUGGCGCAAAUCUCUCCACCAAUGUGAUUUUUGACUGGGAUAAGGAUGAAGUCUCUUGCAGGUCUGCAAUUCCUUAUCUGAAAUGUUUGGAUCAAAACGUGUUUCAUUUUUUGUAGCUUUUCCUGUUUUACAGUGGUAAUGUGUUUCAUAUACUGUAUAUUAUGGAACAUCACCACUGGAUCUGGAAUCACAUGAUAAAAGGAAAGGCAUGAUCAUUUCUGUAGCAAAAAAUGUAUGAGUAUUCAUAAUAAAUGAGACAAAUAAAAAUUAUAAACAGCUUCAGCUCA